rnacentral:lncRNA from 1 species
AGGCCGCGGGCACAGCUGCGCCCAAAAAUAACCGCCCGAAGGCCGGGGCGCCAAGUUCGUCCAGCGGAAAAAGACCACAAAAACGGGUGCGCUAUAGCCUUGUGGGGUGGGGCUGGCCCACUUUUCUCCGCCGGACUCGGAAUGGCACGAGACUUUGCAAGGCGUCUCCGUGCGCCAAAAAUAGGCCGCGGGAACAGCCGCGCCCAAAAAUAACUGGCCGAAGGCCGGGGCGCCAAGUUCGUCCAGCGGAAAAAGCCCACAAAAACGGGUGGGCUAUAGCCUUGGGGGGUGGGGCUGGCCAACUUCGUCCGCCGGACUCGGAAUGGCGCGAGACCUUAUGAGGUGCCUCCAUGUGCCAAAAAUAGGCUGCGGACACAGCCUCACCCAAAAAUAACCGACCGAAGGCCAGGGCGCCAAGUUCGUCCAGCGGAAAAAGGCCAGAAAAACGGGUGGGCUAUAGCCUUGGGGGGUGGGGCUGGCCAACUUCGACCGCCGGACUCGAAUUGGCGCGAGACUUUUCGAGGCACCUCCGUGUGCCAAAAAUAGGCCGCGGGCACAGCCGCGCCAAAAUGUAACCGCCCGGAGACCGGGCCUCCAUGAUCGUCCAGCGGAAAAAGCCCACAAAAACGGGUGGGCACGCCUUGGGGGGUGGGGCUGGCCGACUUCGUCCGCCGGACUCGGAAUGGCGCGAGACUUUGCGAGGCACCUCUGUGUGCCAAAAAUAGGCCGCGGGCACAGCCACGCCCAAAAAUAACUGCCCGAAGGCCGGGGCACCAAGUUCGUCCAGCGGAAAAAGCCCACAAAAACGGGUGGGCUAUAGCCUUGGGGGGUGGGGCUGGCCGACUUCGUCCGCCGGGCUCGGAAUGGAGCGAGACUUUGCGAGGCACCUCUGUGUGCGAAAAAUAGGCAGCGAACACAGCCUCACCCAAAAAUAACCGACCGAAGGCCAGGGCGCCAAGUUCGUCUAGCGGAAAAGGGCCACAAAAACGGGUGGGCUAUAGCCUUGGGGGGUGGGGCUGGCCCACUUCGUCCGCCGGACUCGGAAUGGCGCGAGACUUUGCGAGGCACCUUCGUGUGGCAAAAAUAGGCCGCGGGCACAGCCGCGCCUAAAAAUAACCGCCCGAAGGCCGGGGCGCCAAUUUCGUCCAGUGGAAAAAGCCCACAAAAAUGGGUGGGCCAUAGCUUUGGGGGGUGGGGCGGGCCCACUUCGUCCGCCGGACUCGGAAUGGCGCGAGACUUUGCGUGCGUCCUCCGUGUGCCAAAAAUAGGCCGCGGGCAAAGCCGCGCCCAAAAAUAACCGCCGGAAGGCCGGGGCGCCAAGUUCGUCCAGCGGAAAAAGGCCACAAAAACGGGUGGGUUAUAGCCUUGGGGGGUGGGACUGGCCAACUUCGUCCGCCGGACUCGGAAUGGCGCGAGACUUUGCGAGGCACCUCCGUGUGCCAAAAAUAGGCCGCGGGCACAGCUGCGCCCAAAAAUAACCGCCCGAAGGCCGGGGCGCCAAGUUCGUCCAGCGGAAAAAGACCACAAAAACGGGUGGGCUAUAGCCUGGGGGGGUGGGGCUGCCCGACUUCGUCCGCCGGACUCGGAAUGGCGCGAGACUUUGCGAGGCACCUCCGUCUGCCAAAAAUAGGCCGCGGGCAAAGCCGCGCCCAAAAAUAACCGCCCGAAGGCCGGGGCGGCAAGUUCGUCCAGCGGAAAAAGGCCACAAAAACGGGUGGGCUAUAGCCUUGGGGGGUGGGGCUGGCCAACUUCGUCCGCCGGACUCGGAAUGCCGCGAGACUUUGCGAGGGGCCUCCGUGUGCCAAACCUAGGCCGCGGACAAAGCCACGCCCAAAAAUAACCGCCCGAAGGCCGGGGCACCAAGUUCGUCCAGCGGAAAAAGGCUAGAAAAACGGGUGGGCUAUAGCCUUGGGGGGUGGGGCUGGCCAGCUUCAUCCGCCGGACUCGGAAUGGUGCGAGACUUUGCAAGGCGCCUCCGUGUACGAAUAAUAGGCCACGGCCACAGCCGCGCCCAAAUAUAACCGCCCGAAGGCCGGGGCGCCAUGUUCGUCCAGCGGAAAAAGCCCACAAAAACGGGUGGGCUAUAGCCUUGGGGGGUGGGGCUGGCCAGCUUCGUCCGCAGGACUCGGAAUGGCGCAAGACUUUGCGAGGCACCUCCGUGUGCCAAAAAUAGGCCGCCGGCACAGCCGCGCCCAAAAAUAACUGCCCGAAGGCCGGGGCGCCAAGUUCGUCCAGCGGAAAAAGCCCACAAAAACGGGUGGGCUAUAGCCUUGGGGGGUGGGGCUGGCCAACUUCGUCCGCCGGACUCGGAAUGGCGCGAGACUUUGCGAGGGGCCUCCGUGUGCGAAAAACAGGCUGCGGGCAAAGCCGCGCCCAAAAAUAACCGCCCGAAGGCCGGGGCGGCAAGUUCGUCCAGCGGAAAAAGGCCACAAAAACGGGUGGGCUAGAGCCUUGGGGGGUGGGGCUGGCAAACUUCGUCCGCCGGACUCGGAAUUUCGUGAGACAUUGCGAGGGGCCUCCGUGUGCCAAACCUAGGCCGCGGGCAAAGCCGCGCCCAAAAAUAACCGCCCGAAGGCCGGGGCGCCAAGUUCGUCCAGCGGAAAAAGCCUACAAAAACGGGUGGGCUAUAGCCUUGGGGGGUGGGGCUGGCCGACUUCGUCCGCCGGACUCGGAAUUUCGUGAGACUUUGCGAGGGGCCUCCGUGUGCCAAACCUAGGCCGCGGGCAAAGCCGCGCCCAAAAAUAACCGCCCGAAGGCCGGGGCGCCAAGUUCGUCCAGCGGAAAAAGCCCACAAAAACGGGUGGGCUAUAGCUUUGGGGGGUGGGGCGGGCCCAC